AUUGAACGCUGGCGGCAGGCCUAACACAUGCAAGUCGAACGAGUGGCGGACGGGUGAGUAAUGUCUGGGAAACUGCCUGAUGGAGGGGGAUAACUACUGGAAACGGUAGCUAAUACCGCAUACCAUCAGAUGUGCCCAGAUGGGAUUAGCUAGUAGGUGGGGUAAUGGCUCACCUAGGCGACGAUCCCUAGCUGGUCUGAGAGGAUGACCAGCCACACGGGAACUGAGACCCGGUCCAGACGCCGACGGGAGGGAGGAGUGGGGAAAAGUGGAGGAUGGGCGCGAGCCGGAAGCAGGCAUGCCGGGUGCGUGAAGAAGGCCUUGGCGUUGGAAAGCGUUUUGAGCGAGGAGGCGUUACUCGCAGAAGAAGCACCGGCUAACUCCGUGCCAGCAGCCGCGGUAAUAC
rnacentral:rRNA from 1 species